rnacentral:lncRNA from 1 species
CGUGUUCUUCAUUUCUGCCUUUUUCAGCAGCCUUGGGCUCACGUCUCCAGACCGCCGGCAAUAAAAGUUGGAGCGCAGCGCUGACAGCAUAUCUACCACAACUCAUCUCUUUCCGCACGUGUUCGAGGUUCGCUUUCAGCAAUGUCAUUAGGUGGAGCUGCAGCCUCUGGCACUUCUUGGAAGCUCCGUCUCUGUCACUCAUUAAACGCACUGAAGAGGGAUGGUAACCUCAAGAUAGAUUAAUUAUCAUCAUUGCCUCCAAGUAUAUCAUGCCCAAACUCUGUGAGAGGUUUUCUAGGUAAUUAAAAGAUGAGGCCCCUGCAAUGAGGAAGUUGCAAUUAAAACUCACGGUGCUGAUAUAGGAAAAGAAGAGGAGUUGCCUUGAAGAACAGAGCAGUAGAGUUCGCAUUGGGCUUCAUUUCGCUGUUCUCCUCCUCGCCGUGUAUUGCAGGCCCUGCUCUGAGGUAAGGAGUUAAGUGCUGAUCAAGUAAAUUUGCAUAACUUGGGCCCAUGGCAAGUUUAGUUAUGCUUGCAGGUAGGCUUCUUCCAUCCCACGCCAGCACAGCCAGCUCCUAACCCCCACGUGUCACCGACCUGCAUUCCUGCACCUGCAGGCAGCUGGGGACACUCACUCCAGCAAACAAGCACCUCAUCCCGGGUAGACAACCUGAGGAAGAAGAUGUGGAGAGCCUCUUGCACACAUGGCUCCUCCUGGCUGCACCUGGGACCUCCCUGCCCUCCCCCUGCCCUUCCUUGACAGUGGUUGAGGAGAGAAGGGCUUUUGGGGCUGUGAUCCCAAACAAAGCAGUCACCUGGGUGAGCACAGGACCCCGAGGUGCCCAGCCUUGCCUGCUGGCUUCCCGAGGAGAUCCGAGGAGCAUACCAGAGUGGGCCAGCAGACUGGGUGCUGGGCAUGUCAAAUACAGGCUGGAAGGGAUCAUGCUUCUCAAAAUGGGGUUUUGAUCACUCGCCUUUAGCUUGCUGGCAGUGAUGCUGAGGUUACAGGGGUUAUAUCGGAAAUGAGAGAUAAGGGUUUGAUUGCAUCCUCAUGAGGCUGCUAACCAUAUCACCCACUUUCCAGGGCAGCGCCCCACAGGCUGCCCGGGGUGUGCCUGCACAGCUCUAAGGCUUCUCUGAUUCAAUGCACAAAAUGAGGAAAAUGGCUUUUUUUUCCCCCUCUUUCUGGGCAAGGAGAGACUCAUCUGGGGCCUCCCACACCCUUAUGACCUUGUCCCGUGCACGUGGGGUCAAGCAGGCGUGCUCGCUUUCUGCAGGGCGGCUGCAGGUUGGCAGCAGCAGGGCACCAACGUGAUGCUGGUUGGUCCCGGGGGGGAUGCGAGCCCCUGCUGGGGCACCUGAGCACCUUGAGAAGGCCGGCACAAGUGAGGAAGUGAGGCAGCAACUUUUUAAAUUUUCUUUUU